rnacentral:lncRNA from 1 species
UAAAGUAUUUACAUUGUAUGACUGCCAAGAGCUGAAGUGUGUUCCCCCUCUUCCUUGGAAACUGGAGAGGCUUAACCUGGCAAACUGCUUUUCAUUGGAGAGUAUAUCCGACCUUUCAAAGCUGCAGAUCUUGGAUGAGCUCAAUCUCACAAACUGUGGGAAAGUGGAUGAUGUUCCAGGCCUAGAGCACUUGAAGGCUCUGAAAAGAUUAUACAUGAGCGGCUGCAACUCUAGGUUCUCUGUUGCAGUCAAGAAAAGACUUUCCAAGGUGAUUCUGCAAACUCCUUAACAUCUCAGGUGGUUUUGUUAACAACUUAGAAUGUUUUGAAUUCUCACUGCAGGCUUCUUUGAAAAUGAUGGUGAAUCUGAGCUUACCUGGGAACAGAAUCCCUGACUGGUUCUCACAAGGCCCUAUCACAUUCUCACCUCAACCCAACAGAGAGCUCAGAGGCGUAAUCCUGGCAGUUGUUGUGGCUCUUAACCAAGACUGCAUAGAUGACUACCAGCUGCCUGAUGUGAUGGAGGUGCAAGCACAAAUUCUCAAACUUGAUUCACCCUUAUACACCCACACAUUGCACCUCUCUGGAGUUCCAAGAACAAGUGAUGAUCAGCUCCACAUCUGCCGAUACUCAACUUUGCAUCCGAUGAUUUGGACGUUUAAAGAUGGGUACACCAUACAAGUCGUUAAACGGGAACCACCAAUCAAACAAGGCGUUGAGCUAAAGAUGCAUGGGAUUCAUUUUGUUUAUGAAGGGGAUGAUGAUUUUAAAGGUGAAGAACAUGUAUUGAACGAGACACAGCUCACUGUCUCUCAGAAGCUUGCCAAUUUUUUCAGGUCGUUUGAAGAAGGUGAAGCCAGCUCAGAAAGUGAAUCUGCUUAUACUCACAACAGAUGGUUCAGUACUUCAGUCUCUCUCUUACUGUUAUGGGUGGUGUUGAUAAGUUUUGUUGGAUGGUGUUUUUUUGGGAUAUGGGGUAAAGUCCCUGAUGAUCUUGGGAACCUUUCAUCUCUCAAGAAACUAGAACUGGGGAAUAACUAUUUUCACAGUCUUCCAUCUAGUCUUGAGGGGUUAUGGAAUCUUAAAGUAUUUACAUUGUAUGACUGCCAAGAGCUGAAGUGUGUUCCCCCUCUUCCUUGGAAACUGGAGAGGCUUAACCUGGCAAACUGCUUUUCAUUGGAGAGUAUAUCCGACCUUUCAAAGCUGCAGAUCUUGGAUGAGCUCAAUCUCACAAACUGUGGGAAAGUGGAUGAUGUUCCAGGCCUAGAGCACUUGAAGGCUCUGAAAAGAUUAUACAUGAGCGGCUGCA